UACGUAGGGGGCUAGCGUUGUCCGGAAUUAUUGGGCGUAAAGCGCGUGUAGGCGGUUCGAUAAGUCUGCUGUGAAAGUCAAAGGCUCAACCUUUGAAAGCCGGUGGAUACUGUGAGGCUAGAGUACGGAAGAGGCGAGUGGAAUUCCUGGUGUAGCGGUGGAAUGCGCAGAUAUCAGGAGGAACACCAAUUGCGAAGGCAGCUCGCUGGGACGUUACUGACGCUGAGGUACGAAAGCGUGGGGAGCAAACAGG
rnacentral:rRNA from 1 species